rnacentral:rRNA from 1 species
GACGAACGCUGGCGGCGUGCUUAACACAUGCAAGUCGAACGGAAAGGCCCUGCUUUUGUGGGGUGCUCGAGUGGCGAACGGGUGAGUAACACGUGAGUAACCUGCCCUUGACUUUGGGAUAACUUCAGGAAACUGGGGCUAAUACCGGAUAGGAGCUCCUGCUGCAUGGUGGGGGUUGGAAAGUUUCGGCGGGUGGGGAUGGACUCGCGGCUUAUCAGCUUGUUGGUGGGGUAGUGGCUUACCAAGGCUUUGACGGGUAGCCGGCCUGAGAGGGUGACCGGCCACAUUGGGCCUGAGAUACGGCCCAGACUCCUACGGGAGGCAGCAGUGGGGAAUAUUGCACAAUGGGCGGAAGCCUGAUGCAGCAACGCCGCGUGCGGGAUGACGGCCUUCGGGUUGUAAACCGCUUUCGCCUGUGACGAAGCGUGAGUGACGGUAAUGGGUAAAGAAGCACCGGCUAACUACGUG